GUGCCAGCCGCCGCGGUAAUACGUAGGGGGCAAGCGUUGUCCGGAUUCAUUGGGCGUAAAGAGCGUGUAGGCGGCUUGGCAAGUCCGUUGUGAAAACUGGAGGCUUAACCUCCAGACGUCGAUGGAAACUGCCUGGCUAGAGUCCGGAAGAGGAGAGUGGAAUUCCUGGUGUAGCGGUGAAAUGCGCAGAUAUCAGGAAGAACACCCGUGGCGAAGGCGGCUCUCUGGGACGGUACUGACGCUGAGACGCGAAAGCGUGGGGAGCGAACAGGAUUAGAAACCCUAGUAGUCC
rnacentral:rRNA from 1 species